GAAAAGUCUUCUAAUAAUGAAAUGAUUUAUGUGUUUUUAAAAGUACCUCUUCAUAAAAAGGAGAAAGGAAAAAUAAAUCACUAAAUUUUUUUCCCAAUGCAGAAGCGUAUCACAAUUAAUCAUGUACUUAGAAUUUAUCGUAAAAAUGAGAUGGAUCAGAUGACCUCUAUGGCUUUUAUGACCCGACAAUUUGAUCUUCUGAUCUACAUGCAUGUUCUCAGGAAGCUUGCAGUCUGAAGGACAAAUACUAUGAUACCAAAAAAGUGAAUGAGGAGGAAGAACACUUUUGAAAGAACUUUUGGUCAAUGCAAUGAUAAGCCAUGAGUCCACAAUACUGAAGAUGACAUCAUUCACCUCCUAUCAAAGAGAUGAUGAACUUGAAAUUCAAAGACAUGCAUUUUUGAGCAUGGCCAAUGUGAUAAUUUUUGCUGAAAUAUGCUAUUCAUGACUAAUUUUGUGUUAUUGUUUUAUUUAAUGGUGGGAUAGUGAAUGGGGAUAAUUAUGAAUUUACUUUUUUAAAUGAAUAGGAAAGAAAAAGCAUAGUUUUAUAUUCAAAAAUAUAAUAUGAUAAAAUCUCACAGCUGGGCCAUUUGAAAGCAUCACAACCAAAAAAAUCAUUAGUUAAUGGAAAUUCUAUCUACAUGGAUAAAGGUAGUUCUCUGAUUACUUAGAAAUUCAUAAAAUACAUGUCCAUAUAUUGAAAUCUAAUGAAUUCAAGGCAGUAUAGGUAAGAGCUGGCAGUAAAGCACUCACUGUUUGCUUUCCAGAUACAUAGUGUAGUCAUAGUGAAAAGAGGAAAUAAAACAAAUUACAACUGUAUUAGGAGAGGGUCAAGAAGGUUAUAGUGAUUUUAACUGUGAUUAAUGUAGUGAUAGAAAGACCAAGAGUCUCUGUAUCUCAUCUUAUAGACUUUACAUUUCAUAUUAAUCUCUUUUGAUCUAUCUAGCUCUUGGACAGCAUUUGGAUUAUGACAUAUAAAAUAUCAAAUAAUAGCUAUUAAAAACACAUUCCAUGUAGCCAAAAUGUCUAAAAGUGUAAAUAGAAAUUUAGAACAGAAUGCUUUCAAUAUAAUAUUGAGAAUGUAAUAACUCUUUGUAAGAAUCAUCAAUUAACAAAUAGUGCCAUAUAUACUUUGAACUAUUAUUUACCAUUAUUAAGGUUCAAGAAAACCAAUUCACUUCCUUACAGAAAUUAGUAGAUAAAAAUUGUAGUUUCUUUUCCAAAGUUGUAGAAAAUGCAUUAGAAUGCAUUAUGAAUAAAUGAAUUGCAUCCAUUUAUCUUAUUGAUGUACUUAGUGUAUAUUUCUCAUGUAUAUUUCCUUACAAUGAAAGGAAUACUUUGCAUGAUUUUAGUAUUAGGACUUAUACCACAGGUAUAACAGCUGUAGUGAAUGAGCUAAGCCUGGAAAAAUGAAAAUUAUUUGGGACAUUAUGGUGUUGAAUUAGGUUAUUCUACAGUUUUCUUUUUAAAUUUUUGAUUAAAAUGAAUUAUCCUAUGAACAGACAAUUGUCAGA